rnacentral:rRNA from 1 species
UGGGGAAUAUUGCGCAAUGGGCGAAAGCCUGACGCAGCGACGCCGCGUGGAGGAUGAAGGUCUUCGGAUUGUAAACUUCUGUUAGGUGUGAAGAAAUUCGUAGUUUUAAUAGAACUACGCGAUGACUGUAGCAUCAGAGAAAGCACUGGCUAACUUCGUGCCAGCAGCCGCGGUAAUACGAAGGGUGCAAGCGUUAUUCGGAGUGAUUGGGCGUAAAGGGUGCGUAGGCGGUAUAUUAAGUCAACUGUUAAAUUCCUCAGCCUAACUGAGGGCCAGCGGUUGAUACUGGUAUGCUAGAGAGUGGAAGAGAGAAGUGGAAUUCUCGAAGUAGCGGUCAAAUGCGUAGAUCUCGAGAGGAACACCGAUGGCGAAGGCAGCUUCUUGGUCCAUUUCUGACGCUGAGGCACGAAAGCGUGGGGAGCAAACAGG